rnacentral:rRNA from 1 species
AAGCGCGCGCAGGCGGCUAUUUAAGUCUGGUGUUUAAACCUUGGGCUCAACCUGAGGUCGCACUGGAAACUGGGUGGCUUGAGUACAGAAGAGGAAAGUGGAAUUCCACGUGUAGCGGUGAAAUGCGUAGAGAUGUGGAGGAACACCAGUGGCGAAGGCGACUUUCUGGGCUGUAACUGACGCUGAGGCGCGAAAGCGUGGGGAGCAAACAGGAUUAGAUACCCUGGUAGUCCACGCCGUAAACGAUGAGUGCUAGGUGUUAGGGGUUUCGAUACCCUUGGUGCCGAAGUUAACACAGUAAGCACUCCGCCUGGGGAGUACGGUCGCAAGACUGAAACUCAAAAGAAUUGACGGGGACCCGCACAAGCAGUGGAGUAUGUGGUUUAAUUCGAAGCAACGCGAAGAACCUUACCAGGUCUUGACAUCCCUCUGAAUCCUCUAGAGAUAGAGGCGGCCUUCGGGACAGAGGAGACAGGUGGUGCAUGGUUGUCGUCAGCUCGUGUCGUGAGAUGUUGGGUUAAGUCCCGCAACGAGCGCAACCCUUGACUUUAGUUGCCAGCAGGUCGAGCUGGGCACUCUAGAGUGACUGCCGGUGACAAACCGGAGGAAGGUGGGGAUGACGUCAAAUCAUCAUGCCCCUUAUGACCUGGGCUACACACGUACUACAAUGGCCGGUACAACGGGAAGCGAAGCCGCGAGGUGGAGCCAAACCCAGCAAAGCCGGUCUCAGUUCGGAUUGCAGGCUGCAACUCGCCUGCAUGAAGUCGGAAUUGCUAGUAA